UGUAUUCUCCUUGAUAUUUCAUGUCUGCACAGAACAACCAGUUAUGCAGACAUGGAGUCUGCAUAGAACAACCAGCCCUGUCCCCAUCCCUCCCUUAGGCCACAUGGCUGUGGCAUCUAUUUUCUUACCAACAACAAAGAUGCCAGCGUUCGCCUAUGAGCAAAACUAAGGCGAACUGUAUUUCCGCUCUAGCUAUUGGCCGGCAGUUUUGCAUUGUGCAUUUCCUGAGAACAUCUUCUUUCCUAAAGCGUAAAAAGCCCAGGACUCAGCCCAGAUAGCAUAUCACGGGAGAAAGGCGGAAACCAUUCUGGCGCACAGCUUUAAUUGAUUGCUUCCCCUCCACUGGGCCCACCGCGUGGCUUACAUUGCUCAGAGCUCAGUGCUGCUGAAAGAGACCCAUGGCUCCCCAACCUGCUCUGAGACAGGCCAGGAACUCAGGGAAUUACGACAGUCAAGAACAAUAUGAACAACGAGUGAAUCCCACUGGACCAUAAAUCUUCACAAAAUUGUAGAGAAGGGGUGACAAGAGGCAAGCAGUGGGGCAGACAGUGUCGCUGUGUCGGAAACCCCAGGUCAGAUCAACACGCAGCACAGCCACUGCAAAGGAAAGAGACAAGGUUGAGUUCUUGCUUCUCAGGAGCUGGCGUGCUUUCACCAUCGAUGCUCUCCUGCCUCAUAUGGGUAUGACCUUUUCAUCUCCAUUCUCCAGCCUAUCACAAAAUGCACUUGGUAUUCACAUGGAGCUAAGACAGUCAAUAGGAAUAAGCACCACUCAGCAACUCCAUGGUCCAAGAAUUUCAGAGCACCACCAGCCAGCAGUUCAUCAGACCUCAGGCCAUUUACCUCAGCCAGAGAGAGCUGCACCAUGCCAUCCUCGUCCUUGUCCAGAAGCCUGAAUAAUUCUAAAAUGCCAGAGAAGGAAUAAAAUUAGAUAAGGCUGUUUCUGGACUUUGAAACAGUCAGAGAGCUGCCUCUGUCUACCCCAUCCCCACCUGGGGAACUCCCCUUUCCCCUACAUCCCCUCCCCUCCAGGCCCCACCUAGCCCCAGGGACCUCAAAAAGCUAGACCCAGAGCACACAAUCCGAUCUGGGGGAUCGGAUGUCCCUGCCAAAACAGACAAACCCCGUUGCCAGCAGAGAUGGUCCCUUUGGUGUCUCCACCCUCAGAAGCUUUAUAUCAGAAACGUGCAAUUACUUUAUCAGGGUGCAGUAUUGUCAAACAGACGGUGGUUGUGUUGUUUGUGGGUAAUACAGUCCCUUAGCUUUGUCUCUGGCUAACUGACCUUAACCCACUAGAAUAUAACACCUACGAAACCUCAGUGGAAGGAAAAAUCCCUCCCUAAUAAGGUAUCUAAUUUCAAGGCCCCAGAUGGCAGGAAAACACCUUCCAGAGAACACCCCUGAUUUCUUUGCUGGAAGGUGGCACAUGUUCUCAAUAUGAUUCCUACUGAAAAUCAAAUAUAGAUAGACACUAAAAGCCAUCUAAGAAUGUUACUGAAAUGCAUUCAUCUUGGCCCAGUGACUGCACACUAUAUUUGCAUGAUAGUCUGGAUGGCAGCUUUGUAAUCUCCAAAAACAGGCAGCCUCAGUCCUGGGUCUGGCCAGCCUGGACUUCCUCAGCCCCUUCAGGUUCAGCUGCCCCUCACCCCCAAGGUGCCAGUGUUACAGAGGCCCUGUCUAUUAUUUUCUGGGCCCCCAGCCUCCGAAAGGCAAUGUCUGUUUCUAAAUGCCCCUUGGCCCUACCCACCUUGCACCUUGGGAUUAAUAGGAUGGGGUUGGAGGACAGAAUGACUCACUGAAGAG